UACGAAGGGUGCAAGCGUUAUUCGGAUUUAUUGGGCGUAAAGGGUUCGUAGGCGGAAAGAUAAGUUGAGUGUGAAAGUCCUGGGCUCAACCCAGGAAGUGCAUUCAAAACUGUUUUUCUUGAGUGUUGGAGAGGGUGAUGGAAUUGCUGGUGUAGGAGUGACAUCCGUAGAUAUCAGCAGGAACACCGAAGGCGAAAGCAGUCACCUGGCCAAACACUGACGCUGAUGAACGAAAGCGUGGGGAGCAAACAGG
rnacentral:rRNA from 1 species